rnacentral:rRNA from 1 species
GAUGAACGCUGGCGGCGUGCCCAAUACAUGCAAGUCGAGCGAAUGGAUUAAGAGCUUGCUCUUAUGAAGUUAGCGGCGGACGGGUGAGUAACACGUGAGUAACCUGCCCAUAAGACUGGGAUAACUCCGGGAAACCGGGGCUAAUACCGGAUAACAUUUUGAACCGCAGGGUUCGAAAUUGAAAGGCGGCUUCGGCUGUCACUAAUGGAUGGACCCGCGUCGCAUUAGCUAGUUGGUGAGGUAACGGCUCACCAAGGCAACGAUGCGUAGCCGACCUUAGAGGGUGAUCGGCCACACUGGGACUGAGACACGGCCCAGACUCCUACGGGAGGCAGCAGUAGGGAAUCUUCCGCAAUGGACGAAAGUCUGACGGAGCAACGCCGCGUGAGUGAUGAAGGCUUUCGGGUCGUAAAACUCUGUUGUUAGGGAAGAACAAGUGCUAGUUGAAUAAGCUGGCACCUUGACGGUACCUAACCAGAAAGCCACGGCUAACUACGUGCCAGCAGCCGCAGUAA